ensembl:lncRNA
GCUUUUCUUUCUUCCCUGACUACAAGUUGCAAUUUUCAAAUCAGACUCCCAAGGAAGGGAACUAGUAGCUGUCCAGUGUCCCUGUGAAGUGAAGUGAAGUUGCUUCAGUCGUGUCCGACUCUGUGCGACCCCAUAGACGGCAGCCCACCAGGCUCCCCGGUCCCUGGGAUUCUCCAGGCAAGAACACUGGAGUGGGUUGCCAUUUCCUUCUCCAAUGCAUGAAAGUGAAAAGUGAAAGUGAAGUUGCUCAGUUGUGUCUGACUCUUGGAGACCCCAUGGACUGUCGCCUACCAGGCUCCAGUGUCCCUAAAGAAGCAAAAAUAAAGUGUU